AUCGCUUCUCGGCCUUUUGGCUAAGAUCAAGUGUAGUAUCUGUUCUUAUCAGUUUAAAAAAUCACUGACCACAAUUGAGCACGAGUUAUUCCACUGAUGCAAGAGUGGUUUAAUAUUUACAAAUCAAUCAGUGUGGUACCUCAC
ensembl:snRNA U2 U2 spliceosomal RNA